rnacentral:tRNA from 1 species
GCCGUGGUAGCUCAUUGGUAGAGCAGACGCCUGAAGAGCGCCUGGUAGGGAGUUCGAUUCUCCCCCGCGGCACCC